UUCAGGAAAUGACAGUCUUCGUCAAAUGCUCAGCAAGCAGCCAAGAAAGGUUUUGCCGCCCCAAGAAUUUCAGCACCAAGCGAUGAUGCUCCUACAAAUGAUGCGCCUCACACAACUACAGCAGGGUGAACUGCUACAGCAGCUAUGUUCAGACCAUAUCCGCGCCUUUGAAGCUGCUCCAAAUCUUGUGCAAACCGCUUUUGAUAGUGUGGAGGAGUUCGAGAGGUUCAACGCUUCUCUGACUGAAUGCAAGGCAUCACAGCUGGUAGAGGAACUGU